AUGGACAUGAGGGCCCCCGCUCAGCUCCUGGGCUCCUGCUGCUCUGGCUUCCAGGUGACAGAUGUGACAUUCAGAUGACCCAGUCACUGUCCUUUCUGUCUGCAUUUUUAGGAGACAGUGUCACCAUCACUUUCCAGACAGUCAGGUCAUUGGCCUGGGGUUAGCCUGUAUCAGCAGAAACCAGCAAAAGCUCCUGAGCUCAUAAUCCAUGCUGCACCCAGUUUGCAAUCUGGGGUCCCAUCACGGUUCAGUGGCAGUGGAUCUGGAAGAGAUUUCACUCUCACCAUCAGCAGCCUACAGUCUGAAGAUGUUAUAACUUAUUAUUUUCAGCAGGAGAGCAGUUUCCCUCCCACAGUGUUACAAAUCAAAAGAAUAACUCCUUAG